rnacentral:rRNA from 1 species
UACGGAGGGAGCUAGCGUUGUUCGGAAUUACUGGGCGUAAAGCGCGCGUAGGCGGCUUUGUAAGUUAGAGGUGAAAGCACGGGGCUCAACCCCGGAAUUGCCUUUAAGACUGCAUCGCUUGAAUCCGGGAGAGGUGAGUGGAAUUCCGAGUGUAGAGGUGAAAUUCGUAGCUAUUCGGAAGAACACCAGUGGCGGAGGCGGCUCACUGGACCGGUAUUGACGCUGAGGUGCGAAAGCGUGGGGAGCAAACA